rnacentral:rRNA from 1 species
CANNCNNAGAUAGCCAGCAGUCUAGUACAUGCCGUAUUAAGGCGAAACCGCGAAUGGCUCAUUAAAUCAGUUAUGGUUCCUUGGAUCGUACCUUACUACUUGGAUAACUGUGGUAAUUCUAGAGCUAAUACAUGCAGCAGAGCUCCGACCUUCGGGGACGAGCGCUUUUAUUAGACCAAAACCAAUCGGACUCUGUCCGUCUCUUGUGGUGACUCUGAAUAACUUUGGGCUGAUCGCACGGGCCCGUCCCGGCGACGUAUCUUUCAAGUGUCUGCCUUAUCAACUUUCGAUGGUAGGUUACGCGCCUACCAUGGUCGUAACGGGUAACGGGGAAUCAGGGUUCGAUUCCGGAGAGGGAGCCUGAGAAACGGCUACCACAUCCAAGGAAGGCAGCAGGCGCGCAAAUUACCCACUCCCAGAACGGGGAGGUAGUGACGAAAAAUAACAAUACGGGACUCUUUUGAGACCCCGUAAUUGGAAUGAGUACACUCUAAAUCCUUUAACGAGGAUCCAUUGGAGGGCAAGUCUGGUGCCAGCCGCCGCGGUAACUCCAGCUCCAAUAGCGUAUAUUAAAGUUGUUGCGGUUAAAAAGCUCGUAGUUGGAUCUCAGUUCCAGACGGGUGGUCCGCCUACCGGUGGUUACUGCCUGUUCUGAACAGCCAGCCGGUUUCUCUUGAUGAUCUUCACCGGUUGUCUUGGGUGACCGGCAAGUUUACUUUGAAAAAAUUAGAGUGCUCAAAGCAGGCGCGACGCCUGAAUAAUGGUGCAUGGAAUAAUGGAAUAGGACCUCGGUUCUAUUUUGUUGGUUUUCGGAACACGAGGUAAUGAUUAAGAGGGACAGACGGGGGCAUUCGUAUUGCGACGCUAGAGGUGAAAUUCUUGGACCGUCGCAGGACGACUCGCAGAANUUUUUU